rnacentral:lncRNA from 1 species
GUACUUACAAUCUUGUAUCCAUUGACUGUCUUGUUAGAUUAACCCAAUAAAUUUCAUUCACUCCGCAUCCUCAAUCCUAUAGACACCCUUUUAAUUCUUCAAUCCCAGACAUAACUCGAUUUCACAAAACAGUCAAGAGUAAUCAAACCCACUUCAUUAAAAAUCCCGAUUCACCAUUACAACACUGACUUCAGCAACGAUUGCCUCAGUCUUCCCAAAACCCUAUGAAGAAAAAAAACCCAAUUCUCUGUCUUCUUUCCCCGCCCGAAGCAUGAAGCUCCUCUCCCCCCGAUCUUCAAAAAAAACCUCCUAAAAAC